CCUCUCGUUUGCUUCCCCGAAACCGAAAAUCCCUAGAAUCUCUCUCAAUUAAAUUCUCUUCGAAAAUCAUGUUCAGAUCCAGUCCCCGGAACCGGAAGGCUUCUCUUCCAAAGACAAUGGUUUCAAUUUGGGCGUUUAGUGUUCUUCUACCUUUGGGGUUUGUCUGAUUUCUCACAUUUUGCUCAUGAUUUUUCUUCUUGCAGAUUGAUAUUGGUUCCUCCUGCAGACUGUGAAAUAGAUAAACCCUAAAUCAUUAUGUCCCAACAGGGGAGAUACGAACCCAUAUCUCCUUCUCCGGGCGUAUGCGGUUCCACUCCAGUUCUCCUUCUCUGGGCGUAUGCGGUUCCUCCUGCAGACGAGCCUACUGCCCUCCAUGUCUCAACAAGCUUCUCUUCACCACCAAGAAUCCAUUCUCAUUUGCUUUCGACUUCUUGUUCAUUCUAUGCACUUCUCUAGCUCUGCCUUUGUCCCUGUUCGUCGCCCAUGUUGACUCGGCCUCUGCUUUAGGCUAGGUUGAAUUGUUCUAGUGAUGCCAAUUGAAAUUACUCGUGAAUACAUAUUUGAGAUGAGUUUAGAUUAUGCAGUUUUGAUAUGGGCUUGGAUUAUGCUAAGGGAAUCAAUGGAGUUGGGAGUAUAGAUGGCUAUGGGAUUGAGCAAAAAGAAGCUGAAAGGGUAUUGCAUUUGGCACCAAUAGGAAACUCUUGGGUUCUUCAGCUAAGGAAGUCAAAAGGUUAUCAGAUGAUGAGACUUGUCGAAUUUGGGAUGCUAGGUCCUCCCAAUGCCCUCCACGAAUAUUCAUGCCAAAACCUUUGGACCCUAUAACAGGUUAGAUGAUGCUGCCUAGAGUGUUGCUGAAUUGAUUACGUACAACUUGUUUUGAUAAUUGCAGAUGGUCAUUUACACGAGAAGGAGAGGUUGAAACGUUGUCUUAGGAAUGCCUUGGCUAAGAACCGGAUGGUUGCAUUUUUGCUUGUUGAUAACCCACAGAACCCACAGAAUUCCGUGACGAAAAGCACCUAAUAAUUAGUGCAUAGAUAUGUGCUUUUGGACAUGCAUCAUCCAUAUCCUAGAUUAGUAUAAUUGCUCUAGAUAGUAGGUUUUUGCCUUAGGAUUAGUAUAGUUCUGGAUGCAUGUACUUUGGCUGCAAUGACAGAUUGAAUAUUGGUAUUUUUGUACUUGGAUUCCAGAUUUGAUGAAUAUAUGGUAUUUUGCAGUUUUUAGA